GUUACUUUGGCAGAUUAGUGCAUUGGGUUUAGAAUUCAAUAAUGUAGAUAAAUUUUACAUGUAACA
rnacentral:tRNA from 1 species